AGAGUUUGAUCCUGGCUCAGGAUGAACGCCUGCGGCGUGCCUAACGCAUGCAAGUCGAGCGAUUUCUUCGGAAGAGAGCGGCGGACGGGUGAGUAACGCGUGGGUAACUUGCCUCAUACACAUGGAUAACAUACCGAAAGGUAUGCUAAUACAAGAUGAUAUAAGAGAUUCGCAUGGAUUUCUUAUCAAAGCUCCGGCGGUAUGAGAUGGACCCGCGUCUGAUUAGCUAGUUGGUGGGGUAAUAGCCUACCAAGGCGAUGAUCAGUAGCCGGCUUGAGAGAGUGACCGGCCACAUUGGGACUGAGACACGGCCCAAACUCCUACGGGAGGCAGCAGUGGGGAAUCUUGCACAAUGGGCGAAAGCCUGAUGCAGCGACGCCGCGUGAGUGAAGAAGUACUUCGGUAUGUAAAGCUCUAUCAGCAGGGACGAUAAUGACGGUACCUGACUAAGAAGCCCCGGCUAACUACGUGCCAGCAGCCGCGGUAAUACGUAGGGGGCAAGCGUUAUCCGGAUUUACUGGGUGUAAAGGGAGCGUAGGUGGUAGUGCAAGUCAGAUGUGAAAGCCCGUGGCUUAACUGCGGGAUUGCAUCGGAAACUGCGUUACUAGAGUACAGGAGAGGUAAGUGGAAUUCCUAGUGUAGCGGUGAAAUGCGUAGAUAUUAGGAGGAACAUCAGUGGCGAAGGCGACUUACUGGACUGUAACUGACACUGAGGCUCGAAAGCGUGGGGAGCAAACAGGAUUAGAUACCCUAGUAGUCCACGCCGUAAACGAUGAGUACUAAGUGUUGGGGUUACCCC
rnacentral:rRNA from 1 species